CGGGAAACCGGAGCUAAUACCGGAUAAUAUAUUGAACCGCAUGGUUCAAUAGUGAAAGACGGUUUUGCUGUCACUUAUAGAUGGAUCCGCGCCGCAUUAGCUAGUUGGUAAGGUAACGGCUUACCAAGGCAACGAUGCGUAGCCGACCUGAGAGGGUGAUCGGCCACACUGGAACUGAGACACGGUCCAGACUCCUACGGGAGGCAGCAGGG
rnacentral:rRNA from 1 species